UACGUAGGGUGCGAGCGUUAAUCGGAAUUACUGGGCGUAAAGCGUGCGCAGGCGGUUUUGUAAGCCAGAUGUGAAAUCCCCGGGCUUAACCUGGGAACGGCAUUUGGGACUGCAAGGCUUGAGUGCGGCAGAGGAGACUGGAAUUCCUGGUGUAGCAGUGAAAUGCGUAGAUAUCAGGAGGAAUACCGGAGGCGAAGGCGGCUAUCUGGCCUAACACUGACACUCAGACCCGAAAGCGUGGGGAUCAAACAGG
rnacentral:rRNA from 1 species